GCUGGGCGCAGUGGUGCACGCCUGUAAUCCCAACGAUUCUGGAAGCUGAGGCAGGAGGAUCACGGGUUUGAAGGCAGCCUCAGCAAAUUAGUGAGGCACUAAGCAGCUCAGUGAGACCGUGUGUCUA
rnacentral:sRNA from 1 species